rfam:Triticum aestivum genome assembly, contig: Triticum_aestivum_CS42_TGACv1_scaffold_407394_5BL
AUACUACUCCCUCCGUCCGGAAAUACUUGUCAUCAAAAUGGAUAAAAGGGGAUGUAUCUAGAACUAGUUCUAGAUACAUCCCCUUUUAUCCAUUUUGAUGACAAGUAUUUCCGGACGGAGGGAGUAGGUU